AUCCGUGUGCAGGUUUUUGUGUGGAAAAGGUUUUCAACUCCUUUCAUAAAUAAGGGGCGUGGCUGCUGGAAGUUAACGCAACUUUUACUUUGCCUUGAUGGCUCUCAAGCGGGGCUGCCCAUUAUAACCACCUGCUCCCAGGGGCAACAGUUCUUGGUGUGAGGAACAUGGACUUGCCCUUCCCUCUGCACCAGCUUGACCUGGCCAGUUCCUUGUGGCUAACAGAGUGGACAUCUGUCACUGUCUGCCUGGGGCAGGGUGAAGACCAGGAGAUGUCUGAGAAAGUCUCCCUGGAGCUGGAAAGUGGCAUUACUGAAACAUUCCAGAAACGAGCUGAAGUCACUCAAGGAAGGCCUUGGGAACUAGGGUUUGGCCCGGUGGGCAGCGCAUGGUAGACAUUCACACGCGCUCCAGCACUGAACACUGCGACCUGGCAGGACGGACCUUCAGGCACCCAGGCUGCCUACUGACCUCCCUGGCAUGGGUGGGAACCGGGAGCUCGUUGGUAAGCAGGAGGAUUCAGGACUAUCGACUGAACCCCACCUCCUCUGUGGCACGCACCGUGCUGUGUCUUUGCAGUCAUCAUCUCAUCACCUCUGCACAGGAAGAUUAUCUCCCCCAUUUUGUGAUGAGGAAAUGGAGGCUCCAGGUGGAAAGAUGCAACCUGGGCCAGAGGCCCCUGGAGGUUGUGCCUGAACCCAGACAGAUCACACAAACCUGAGCAGCCAUUAGCCGCUGUGUGGGCUCCUUUGCACUGUGGGGCUGCUCCUGGGGAUAUUUACGUUGUGAACUGGUAAAAUCUGAACUGCAGAAUAUCAAUUUCCAGACAUUCUUCCUAGAUGAUGCCGUCUGCCACGGCAGGGACCUCUAUCACCCAAAGGGAAACAGCCGUCUAUCUACGAAGCUGUGAUCUCCCCUACAAGCAAGAGAACUCAAUUGCCAGGAGGUCUUUGCUUUUUCUGGCUUCCAGAGAAUGCAGAAAUUUCAAGGAGCCACUAUUGGGCUCCUUCCCUAUAGGAUGUUGGGCCAGGCAACAGAACAAACCUCCUGAGGCACUUCUACCUGGGAAUGCCCUCCUGAGGCCAAUGGCAGCCCUCUGAUGAAGAUACUAUAGUAUUUAUUUUUUGUACACGCUGGUGAUCAUCCAGUGUACAUCUCUGCUUAGUGAACCUUCAUGAACUGGAGGCUGAAUAUUCUCAUCCUGCAUUGAUAGAACCACGUAGGCUGGUUCUAGGCUGUUUUCUGUG
rnacentral:lncRNA from 1 species